rnacentral:rRNA from 1 species
GAUGAACGCUGGCGGCGUGCUUAACACAUGCAAGUCGAACGAUGAAGCCCAGCUUGCUGGGUGGAUUAGUGGCGAACGGGUGAGUAACACGUGAGUAACCUGCCCUUGACUCUGGGAUAAGCGCUGGAAACGGCGUCUAAUACCGGAUACGAGCUUCCACCGCAUGGUGAGUUGCUGGAAAGAAUUUCGGUCAAGGAUGGACUCGCGGCCUAUCAGGUAGUUGGUGAGGUAACGGCUCACCAAGCCGACGACGGGUAGCCGGCCUGAGAGGGUGACCGGCCACACGGGGAGAGAAACACGGCACAGACCCCGACGGGAGGCAGCAGGGGGGAAUAUGGCACAAUGGGCGCAAGCUUGAUGCAGAAACGCGGCGGGGGGGAGGAAGGCCUGCGGGUCUUAAACCACUUUUAGCAGGGAAGAAGCGAAAGUGACGGGACGUGAAGAAAAAGCACCGCCUAAUUACGUG